rnacentral:rRNA from 1 species
GAGUUUGAUCAUGGCUCAGAACGAACGCUGGCGGCAUGCCUAACACAUGCAAGUCGAACGGGAUCCUGGUUUCGGCCAGGUGAGAGUGGCGGACGGGUGAGUAACGCGUGGGAACCUGCCCAGUGGUGGGGGAUAACUGCGGGAAACUGCAGCUAAUACCGCAUGAGCCCGAGAGGGGAAAGAUUUAUCGCCAUUGGAGGGGCCCGCGUUCGAUUAGGUAGUUGGUGGGGUAACGGCCUACCAAGCCGACGAUCGAUAGCUGGUCUGAGAGGAUGAUCAGCCACACUGGGACUGAGAUACGGCCCAGACUCCUACGGGAGGCAGCAGUGGGGAAUAUUGGACAAUGGGGGCAACCCUGAUCCAGCAAUGCCGCGUGAGUGAUGAAGGCCUUCGGGUUGU